GAUUCUCCAGUCAAACAGUCCUGGUUGGUGGGGGAGACAGAGUUAGUGCUAUUGUUCAAUCUGAAUUGAGACUGACACUUUCCUGCCUUAGACAAACCAGACGGAUACAGAUGGGAGAGAAGAGAUGAUCCCAUUGCCGAUCUGUUGCCAGCUCGGCCUUGCAGGGCUAAGGAGACUUCCUGAGCCGGGAGGAUCAGAGCUUUCUGCACUGGGAGCUAUGCCCUCACAUCUUCGCAGUGCGCAAGCAGGGGCGAUUCAGGAGCACAAGCAGGGAUUGUUCCUCAGGGGAGAUCAUGUAAAACAUUGCCCCUGUGAUCCUUCAGAACAGCAACACAACAG